UUAUAGGAAAACUACUACACAGAGAGAGCAAGUAACUUCAAAGAUGGCAUAGCUGAUAGAUGGUAAAAUGGUGGGGCUGGAAUACAACCCAAGAAGACUACUAAGAUUUGAGGUUCCAAUUAAAACUGUGUUUGGGCCAUUGCAUUACUGCCUGCUAGUGCUUAAUCUUCACCGAAAAUCUCGUCACUUAUUUUAAAACAAAAGAAGAACAAAGUAAGGAGAAAAGUAAUGAAAUGCAGCAUAACAAAUCAUUCAAAGUAAAGGGAAGUAGCUUUUUAAAAACGAUCUAGGAUCAGUGACAUUCAGAAAUUAUUUGCUGAACACUAAAUGUGUUCAAGUGUGGCAUCUCAAUUCCAAGGACUCUAUGUCUUCUCUUAUGAAAUGAACCACGUAGGCUUUUUUUUUCCUUCUUUGCUGUUGCAGUAGCCUAAGGAUGAAGUAAAGAACAACGCCGAGUCUAUGUCUUCCACAGAUCACCAUUUAAGUUAAGUUUAUCAAAUUUGUGUUGAUUACUUAUUUCAUUCUAGGCAAUGCCUCUAGGUUUGGGGAUAUAGGAUGAAUAAAACAUGACUUUUAUCAUCUUGGAUCAUACAAUUAUUGAGGAAGCCAAGCAUGUAUAUCAUUUGAAUACGAUCUGUUGAGCAUUCUGAAAGAGAUCUUUGCAACAUGGUAUUGGAAACUUAAAGAGGGAGAUUCAACCCACCUUGGCAGGGAGGUUAAGCCAAUGAAAAGACACUUGAAAAGAUAAUGCCUAAGCUAUCAAAAAAUGAGUGGAAAACAGCCAGGCAAAAAAAAAAAAAAAAAGAUGCAGAGUUUUAUAGAACAGCAGGAAGAAGAGUACAAAGGCACAGAUAUAAUUAAAAUGAAGGUCAUCUCCCUUGGUGUGUGAUAUGGCAAUAAAACAAGAAUAUUUCCUGAAGAAAAAGGAAGGUUUCCUGAAUGAGUUAAAAGUUGAUAGAAGUCUUAAAGCAUCAGUAUGAGUGAUCCAAAUAAAGAUGUAGGACAGAAUGUUUUCUAAGUGGAAAACAUAACAUUUGAAACUAGUGUUUGUUUAUAACCUUGCUGGACAUCCAUUUGCAAGGCAUAAAUCAAAAUGAAUUUAAGAAUCAAUGGUCUUUUUUUCUUUUCUCUACAUUGUAAGUAGAUGAUGCAUUUAUUCCCACUUCUUUAUACUCUGGGAAAGUCAUAGAAACAUAAAAUUGUAAAAGUGAAGGAAAUUUACUUACUACCAUAUUCAUAUCCCCAUUUUCUGGAUGAUGAAACUGAAGCUCAAAGGGUUGAUGCAACUUGUUCAAGGGUAAGCCAUUUGUUAUUUGUAGAGCCUUGAUAAGAUCCAAUAUCCUUUGUAUCAGCUGGAAUACUUGAAAACUGAAGCAUUUUAAUAUUCCUUCCCUCAAUUCAAGUGGAUAGCCAUUAGAGCAGUACAGUAUACUGGUUAACAGUGCUGGUUCUAAAGUUGAAAUAUCUGCUUUUCACCACUUAGGUGCCAAGUGACUUUAGGCAAGUGAUAUAAUGUUUUUGCUUCAGAUUCCUCAUCCACAAAGCGAUACUUAAUAAUGUAAAGUGCUUAGAUCAAUGCUUAGCACAUAGUAAGCAUUAUAUAAGUGUGCUAUUAUUAUCUGUAUUUAGGUAGUCAAAUAUUAACAUGUGCAUAGAUUAUGGUGUGGAUAAUCUUGCAAAUGAGUCCACUAUCCAAUUUUUUUAGAAUAUGUUAAAAUGACUACCACAUUGCCAAUUUAAUCAAAACCUUUUUGAUUUAUUUUUUUUCUUAAUUUCCACUUUCAUUUUAGAUACAGGGGUACAUGUGCAGGGUUGUUAUAUGGGUAUAUUUCACCGAUCUAGUGAGCAUAUGUAUUAGUCCAUUCUGACAUUGCUAUAAAUAAAUACCCGAGAGUGGGUAAUUUAUAAAGGAAAGGGGUUUAAUUGGCUCAUGGUUCUGUAGGCAGGCUGCACAGGAAGCAUGAUGGCAUCUGCUCAGCUUCUGAGGAGGUAUUUAAAAAAACUUACAAUUAUGGUAGAAGGCAAAGGGGGAACAGGCAUGUCACAUGGCUAGAGCAGGAGCAGGAGAGAGUGGAGGGAGGUGCUAUAUUCUUUUAAAGGACCAGAUCUCAUGAGAACUCACUCACUAUCAUGAAUACAGUACCAUUAGGGUGCUGUUGCUAAAUGAAUGAUGCUAAGCUAUUCAUGAGAAAUCCUCCUCCAUGAUCCAAUCAUCUCUCAACAGGCCCCGCCUCCAACACUGGGGAUUACAUUUCGACAUGAUAUUUGGGUGGGACAUCCAAACCAUAUCAACAUAGAAACCAAUAGGUAGUUUUUCAACCCACACCCCCUUCCCUAACUUCCCUCACUAGUAGUCUGCGGUGCCUAUUGUUCCCAUGUUUAUGUUGCCACGUGCUCAAUGUUCAGCUCCCACUUUUAAGUGAGAACAUGCAGUAUUUGAUUUUCUGUUUCUACAUUUAUUUGUUUAGGAUUAUGGCCUCCAGUUCCAUCCAUGUUGCUGCAAAGGAAAAGAUUUCAUUACUUUUUGUAUUCCAUCGUGUGUAUGAACCACAUUUUAUUUAUCCAAUCUAUCAUUGUUGGGCACCUAGACUGAUUGCACAUCUUUGUCAUUGUGAAUAGUGCUGCCAUGAACAUGCAUGUGUCUUUUUGGUAUAAUUAUCUCUCUCCUUUUGGGAGUAUGACUACUAAUAGGAUUGCCAGGUCAAAUAGUAGCUGUGUUUUAAGUUCUUUGAGAAAUCUCCAAACUAUUUUCCACAGUGGCUAAACUAAUUUACAUUGCCUCCAACAUUAUAUAAGCAUUCCCUUUUCUCUGCAACGUGUCGACAUCUGUUGUAUUUUUUGACUUUUUAAUAAUAGCCCUUGUGACUGGUGUGAGAUGGCAUCUCAUUGUGGUUUUUAUUUGCAUUACUCUGAUGAUUAGGAUGGUGAUCUUCUUUUCAUAUGUUUGUUGUCUUCUUUUGGGAAGUGUCUGUUCAUGUCCUUUGCCCAUUUUUUAUUGUGGUUCUUUGGUUUUUGCUUGUUGAUUUGUGUAAGUUUCUUAUUGAUUCUGCAUAUUACAUAAUCCCAUUUACAAUAUCCACAAAAAAUGUAAUAACUAGGAAUACAGCUAACCAAGGAGGUGAAAGAUCUCUACAAUGAGAAUUACAAAACACGGCUGAAAGAAAUCGGAUAUGACACAAAUAAAUAGAAAAACAUUCCGUGCUCAUGGAUUAGAAAAAUCAAUAUCAUUAAAAUGGCCAUACUGCACAAAGAAAUUUAAAGAUUCAAUUUUAUUCCUAUCAAACUGCCAAUGUCAUUCUUCACAGAAUUAGAAAAAAACUAUUCUAAAAUUCAUAUGUAACCCCAAAAGACCCUGAAUAACCAAAGCAAUCUUAAACUAAAAGAAAAAAAGCCAGAGACAUCACAUUACCCAACUUCAAGCUAUACUGUAAGGUGAUAGUGACCAAAGUAGCAUGGUACUGGUACAAAACAGACACAUAGACCAAUGGAACAGAAUAAAACAUUCAGAAAUAAAGCUGCACAACUACAACCAUCUGAUCUUCAAUGAAGUCGACAAAAACAAGCAAUGAUGAAAGCAAUGAAACUGGACCCUUACUUUUCACCAUAUGCAAAAAUUAACUCAAAAUGCAUUAAAGAUUUAAAUAUAUGAUUUUAAACUUUAAAAAGCUGUAGAAGAAAGCCUAGGAUAUACCUUUGUUAACAUCGGCCUUGGCAAAGAAAUUUUGGCUAAGACCCCAAAAGCAAUUGCAACAAAAACAAAAAUUGACGAGUGAGACCUAGUUACACCCUAAAGAGCUUGUGCACAGCCAAAUAAACUUUCAACAGAGUAAACAAACAACUUGAAGAAUGAGAGAAAAUAUUCACAAACUAUGCAUCCAACAAAGGUCUAUAAUGUUUUAGAACUGCCACAUGCACAGUAUCAAAAUUAUAUUAUUUCUUAAUUGUCAUCAUUAAUGGAAAACAGUAAAUUUUUACAAAUUAAGUAAUAUGAAAUACUAGCUAAGGGAUACUAGAUUAAGAAUUGGAAAUCUACCUAAUACUUUUAAAUGUAAAAAAAUUACUACUUUAAGCAAAAUUGCCCAAAAACAUCUGUUUAUUGUAUAAGGAUAUAGAAAUGGCUGUGUGACAUUGUAUCAGAUCCCAGUCUUAUGUUCCAAAAACCCUAUUAUGCAAACACCACAACAAAUUAAAUCUGAAAGCAAAGUGACAUAAUUAUUUUACUCUUGGAAACAAGUAUCAGUACUACCCUACAUGUCAAAUGGAUGAUGAGCUUUGUUCAUUUGAUAAAACAAACUUUAAGGACACCUUUUUUUUUUUUAUUAUACUUUAAGUUUUAGGGUACAUGUGCACAACGUGCAGGUUAGUUACAUAUGUAUACAUGUGCCAUGCUAGUGUGCUGAACCCAGUAACUCGUCAUGUAACAUUAGGUAUAUCUCCUAAUGCAAUCCCGCCCCCCUCCCCCAACCCCACAACAGGCCCUGGUAUGUGAUGUUCCCCUUCCUGUGCCCAUGUGUUCUCAUUGUUCAAUUCCCACCUAUGAGUGAGAACAUGCGGUGUUUGGUUUUUUGUCCUUGUGAUAGUUUGCUGAGAAUGAUGGUUUCCGGCUUCAUCUAUGUCCCGACGAAGGACAUGAACUCAUCAUUUUUUAUGGCUGCAUAGUAUUCCAUGGUGUAUAUGUGCCACAUUUUCUUAAUCCAGUCUAUCACUGAUGGAUAUUUGGGUUGGUUCCAAGUCUUUGCUAUUGUGAAUAGUGCCGCAAUAAACAUACGUGUGCAUGUGUCUUUAUAGCAGCAUGAUUUAU
rnacentral:lncRNA from 10 species